UAAGUACCCCGAGGAAAAGAAAUCAACCGAGAUUCCCCCAGUAGCGGCGAGCGAACGGGGAGGAGCCCAGAGCCUGAAUCAGCAUGUGUGUUAGUGGAAGCGUCUGGAAAGGCGCGCGAUACAGGGUGACAGCCCCGUACACAAAAGCGCAUGUGCUGUGAGCUCGAUGAGUAGGGCGGGACACGUGGUAUCCUGUCUGAAUAUGGGGGGACCAUCCUCCAAGGCUAAAUACUCCUGACUGACCGAUAGUGAACCAGUACCGUGAGGGAAAGGCGAAAAGAACCCCGGCGAGGGGAGUGAAAAAGAACCUGAAACCGUGUACGUACAAGCAGUGGGAGCCCCACCACUAAGCCAGUGGUGAACUCCACAUACGCAUCCUUUGCUGAGGAUACGGUUAACGGAGCGAAAGCGACGUUCAACCGCAAAAGAAGCAGAGGGGGCUUAGUGGUGG
rnacentral:rRNA from 1 species